rnacentral:rRNA from 1 species
GAUGAACGCUGGCGGCGUGCCUAAUACAUGCAAGUCGAGCGAACAGACGAGGAGCUUGCUCCUCUGACGUUAGCGGCGGACGGGUGAGUAACACGUGGAUAACCUACCUAUAAGACUGGGAUAACUUCGGGAAACCGGAGCUAAUACCGGAUAAUAUAUUGAACCGCAUGGUUCAAUAGUGAAAGACGGUUUUGCUGUCACUUAUAGAUGGAUCCGCGCCGCAUUAGCUAGUUGGUAAGGUAACGGCUUACCAAGGCGACGAUGCGUAGCCGACCUGAGAGGGUGAGGGGCAACACUGGGACUGAGACACGGUCCAGCCUCCGACGGGAGGCAGCAGUAGGGAAUCUGCCGCAAUGGGCGAAAGCCUGACGGAGCAACGCCGCGUGAGUGAUGAAGGUCUUCGGAUCGUAAAACUCUGUUAUUAGGGAAGAACAAAUGUGUAAGUAACUAUGCACGUCUUGACGGUACCUAAUCAGAAAGCCACGGCUAACUACGGG